GGACGAACGCUGGCGGCGUGCCUAACACAUGCAAGUCGAGCGAGGAGAUCCUUCGGGAUGAUCCUAGCGGCGGACGGGUGAGUAACACGUGGGCAACCUGCCUCAUAGAGAGGAAUAGCCUUCCGAAAGGGAGAUUAAUACCUCAUAACAUUGCAGUUUCGCAUGGAACAGCAAUUAAAGGAGUAAUCCGCUAUGAGAUGGGCCCGCGGCGCAUUAGCUAGUUGGUGAGGUAACGGCUCACCAAGGCGACGAUGCGUAGCCGACCUGAGAGGGUGAUCGGCCACAUUGGGACUGAGACACGGCCCAGACUCCUACGGGAGGCAGCAGUGGGGAAUAUUGCACAAUGGGGGAAACCCUGAUGCAAGCAACGCCGCGUGAGUGAUGACGGCCUUCGGGUUGUAAAGCUCUGUCUUCAGGGACAUAAUGACGGUACCUGAGGAGGAAGCCACGGCUAACUACGUGCCAGCCGCUGC
rnacentral:rRNA from 1 species